rnacentral:rRNA from 1 species
CAGUCGCCGCGGUAACACGUAGGUGGCGAGCGUUGUCCGGAAUUAUUGGGCGUAAAGGGAGCGCAGGCGGACAUAUAAGUCCAUCUUAAAAGUGCGGGGCUCAACCCCGUGAGGGGAUGGAAACUGUAUGCCUUGAGUGCAGGAGAGGAAAGCGGAAUUCCCAGUGUAGCGGUGAAAUGCGUAGAUAUUGGGAGGAACACCAGUGGCGAAGGCGGCUUUCUGGACUGCAACUGACGCUGAGGCUCGAAAGCCAGGGGAGCGAACGGGAUUAGAUACCCCCGUAGUCCCUGUCUCUUAUACC